CAUUGUGGAAUGUGCCCACCGCACACUCAAAUCUUAUCUUAUAAAACAGAAAGGGGGAGUUGAUGAGACUCUGCCCUCAGUGCCAAGAGUAGCGGUAUCUAUGGCACUCUUUACACUUAAUUUUUUGAAUCUCGACGAGCAGGGACACUCUGCAGCUGAGCGACAUAGCUCAGACCCUGAUAGACCAAAAGAAGUGGUCAAAUGGAAGGAUGUUUUAACUGGUCAGUGGAAAGGCCCGGAUCCUAUCUUAAUCAGAUCCCGGGGAGCUGUUUGUGUUUUUCCACAGAGUGAAGACAACCCAUUUUGGCUGCCGGAACGACUCACCCGCAGGAUAUUCAUCAAGGAUGGUGCAGAAGAUGCUGACCUCCCGAGGACUGUUCCUGAUCCUGACAAUGCUGAACUUGUCUCAGGUUCCUAGUAUAAUGGGCGAGCAGAGAUGGGCUAUUCUCUCGACUUUCCCUAAACCAAUGCCAGUUCGCCAUGAUGCUAUAGUUUUUCCAAAAUUCUUUACUACUAAUAAAACAGUGGAUUUGCCAUAUUUACCCUAUGAUCCCACCCGAGCACCAUUAGGAGAAAAUCGCUCUUUACUAGAACAGGGUUCUUUAUGUUUUCAAAUUAAUGGACCAGGAAAUUGUAUCAACCUCACAGCCCGAGCUUUGGGGAAGUUUAAUGAGCAUCGAGGAGGUUGGGUGAGCACAACCCAAGAUACUUCCAAUGUAGAUAUAACCUUUACAAAUCGGACCUUUUGGCAGGAGGUAAAUUGUGUUAAUGGUACAUUUCUACCACCUAACUUUUCAGACAAAGAACGUCCACACCAACCAAAAAUAGCCCCUCAUUGUAGUUUGGAAGAUGAAGGGCUGAUCCUGCCUUGGUCUGAUUGUCAAUCCUCCAUCACUCGUUGGGCAGAUCAGAGUAAAACCUUUUCCUUUUCUCCCAACAUGAUAGAUGACCCAGAGAAGGAAUUUGUUAUGAAAAAGGGACUUUUCAUACAGGACUUUAGAAUGCAUCCCUUUCACAAGUGGGUGCUUUGUGGAGUCAAUGGCAGUUGUACAGAACUCAAUCCUUUGAUUUUUAUCCAGGGAGGAGCAGUUGGAAAGGCUUCUUUUACUGGCAUCUCAAGAUUUGCUCAGUAUUGGGGAAUACAUGAUGCCUCCCAGGACUCUUAUGGAUAUACUAAUACCAGUGUAGAGAUCACUGGGUUCAAUAAAACUUUGGUAAACCAGAUUAAUUAUCCAUCUACCCCAGUCUGUGUUUACCCCCCUUUCUUGUUUAUUCUUUCAAAUGAUUCAUUUGAAGUCUGUUCCAAUGAUUCUUGUUGGAUUUCUCAAUGUUGGGAUGUAACAAAGAACACCCGUGCCAUGGUGGCACGGAUCCCACAUUGGAU
rnacentral:lncRNA from 1 species